UACGUAGGUGGCAAGCGUUGUCCGGAUUUACUGGGCGUAAAGAGCGCGUAGGCGGCCGUGUAAGUCCGCUCUGAAAGUCAAAGGCUCAACCUUUGAAAGCGGGUGGAUACUGCACGGCUAGAGUCCGGAAGAGGCGAGUGGAAUUCCUGGUGUAGCGGUGGAAUGCGCAGAUAUCAGGAGGAACACCAACGGCGAAGGCAGCUCGCUGGGGACGGUACUGACGCUGAGGCGCGAAAAGCGUGGGGGAGUAAACAGG
rnacentral:rRNA from 1 species